rnacentral:tRNA from 1 species
GGUGGUUUAGUGGUACAGUACUUGCCUUGCAUGCAAGAGGCCCUAGGUUUGAUUCCUUAGCACCA